UACGAAGGGGGCUAGCGUUGUUCGGAAUCACUGGGCGUAAAGGGCGCGUAGGCGGCCGAUCAAGUCGAGGGUGAAAGCCUGUGGCUCAACCACAGAAUUGCCUUCGAUACUGGUUGGCUUGAGACCGGAAGAGGUAAGUGGAACUGCGAGUGUAGAGGUGAAAUUCGUAGAUAUUCGCAAGAACACCAGUGGCGAAGGCGGCUUACUGGUCCGGUUCUGACGCUGAGGCGCGAAAGCGUGGGGAGCAAACAGG
rnacentral:rRNA from 1 species